rnacentral:rRNA from 1 species
CGCGUAGGCGGUUUGUUAAGUCGGAUGUGAAAGCCCCGGGCUCAACCUGGGAGUUGCACCCGAUACUGGCCGACUGGAGUGCGAGAGAGGGAGGUAGAAUUCCACGUGUAGCGGUGAAAUGCGUAGAUAUGUGGAGGAAUACCGGUGGCGAAGGCGGCCUCCUGGCUCGACACUGACGCUGAGGUGCGAAAGCGUGGGGAGCAAACA